rnacentral:rRNA from 1 species
UACAGGGGGUGCAAACGUUGCUCGGAAUCAUUGGGCGUAAAGCGCACGUAGGCGGUCUGUUAUGUCGGAUGUGAAAGCCCUUGGCUUAACUGAGGAAGUGCAUCCGAAACUGGCAGGCUAGAGUACUAAAGAGGCGAGUGGAACUCCUGGUGUAGCGGUGGAAUGCGCAGAUAUCAGGAAGAACACCAACGGCGAAGGCAGCUCGCUGGGACGGUACUGACGCUGAGACGCGAAAGCGUGGGGAGCGAACAGG